rnacentral:rRNA from 1 species
GACGAACGCUGGCGGCGUGCUUAACACAUGCAAGUCGAACGGAAAGGCCCUGCUUUUGUGGGUUGCUCGAGUGGCGAACGGGUGAGUAACACGUGAGUAACCUGCCCUUGCCUUUGGGAUAACUUCUGGAAACUGGGGCUAAUACCUGAUAGGAGCUCCUGCUGCAUGGUGGGGGUUGGAAAGUUUCGGCGGUUGGGGAUUGACUCGCGGCUUAUCAGCUUGUUGGUGGGGUAGUGGCUUACCAAGGCUUUGACGGGUAGCCGGCCUGAGAGGGUGACCGGCCACAUAGGGACUGAGAUACGGACCAGACUGCAACGGGAGGAAGCAGAGGGAAAUAGAGCACAAUGGGCGGAAGCAUGAAGCAGAAAAGCCGCGUGCGGGAUGACGGCCUUCGGGUUGUAAAAAGAUUUCGAAUGUGACGAAGCGUGAGUGACGGUAAUGGGUAAAGAAGCACCGGCUAACUACGUG